CGAGAAGGAGCGAGCCGAGCAGCAGCGUCCAGAAGAGGAGAAGGAAGCAUCCCAUUUUGCGGUGCCGUGUUCUUCCUUCUCCUCUUUCUCUUCUUCCAAAUGCCGAGCUGCGAGCUUGGAGGACAAGUCCCUCUUCAUUACAAGCGCGCAGUUGGCAAUCAAUCAACAGCGGACCUGAAGAGACAAAACAGCUACCAUAUGGCUACUCCGUCGAUAGAUCCGCUGAUCAAAAUGUGGUCUCGCUGCUGGCUGCCAAAGUAUGUGAGGGGGAAUGCGAAAACACCACUCAGUGCCUGUCGGUCCUCGAUGUUUUCUUUUAAGGCUACAGCAGAAGAGAAGCAAUCAGGCAGGCGGCGGGCUAACACGGCAGCACCGCUCCAUCACUCUUAACUCUCUCUCUCUCUCUCUCCCUCUCUCUCUCCCUCUCUCUCUCUCUCUCUCUCUCUCUCUACUUUCUUAAGUUUUCUGAAAGCUUUUUUUCUACGACUAAAGCCUUUCUGUAUUCAUGUGCAGGGGGAAGGACGAGGACAAUGUGAUCCAAGCAGCGAUCCAAGCAGCGACUACGCAAAAGUUGGCCACCUCAACCGGAGAUGACGACAGACAACACUGAUUUUCACGAGUUUUCCAGAUUCGGGAAUCUCACCCGUGGGAUUAGUGCGGCCGGUGCACGAGACUAAAUUUGUGGAGCUUAUUAAGUGCGUGCUGGUGGCUACGACUUUGAGACGAUCUUUGAUCUCUUGCUACUUCGGGCUCCAAGGCGGAUCUGCUUCCUCUACAAGUGCACAGGAUGUUCUCGGUGACUAAUGCCAAGACUUAUUUAAAGAGGUUCUCGCUACCGGAAUGACGUCAAUGUUCUCUCCAUCGAUUCACCGUGGCUUAGGAGCGCGACUUUGUCUAGUCCCUCAAAGGUGGAGGUGGCGGAGUGGAAGUAUACGCGACAAAAUGAGAAGCUACAUAGAUUAUACGUGGCAAAUAUUCGUUUGGUGGAGGAGAGGAUGGGAAUGAGCGGAGCUGAGCUCAACAAUGUGUAGCUGCUGGCUGGCCUCUGCUAAUCAUUGUCAUUGUUGGUGGUGAUCCAUAUUCUCAAUCGGCUAUGCUGGAAGCGAGCACAAGACGAGCGAGCUAUAGGCUAUGGAGUUUAUAAUCUGGGCCAGCGUUAGUUAUCAGGAUCGAUUCGUCUUCACCAUGUAUUCCAGUGGAUUCUAUGCGGAGGAGCAUUAUGCAAGUCGCGGCAAAGCUUGUGCUGGACAGAAUUUGUUUGGCAUUUGGCUUGUCAGAAUCAACUCUGGAUCUUUACGAUGGAUUGUCACAGAACAGUGAACGCAAACUCGUUGUUGAUCCAUUCUCCAGCAAAAUAGAAUUGAGUUGUCAACGCGAGCACCAACGAAAGAAUACUUGCGUCGUUUCUUGAUCACUGCUGAGCGAAUCACGAGCAUUUCCACAGAAUCUUUAGUACCAAUCUACGGCGAUUUUAGUCACAAUCAGCUGUGCGAUGGUUCGAUCAUAGAGGACGUCCACUUAACUGGCAAGGCAGUCCACUUGCGAACAGGGUUCCGUGGCAUGACUUUCCGGUUUAGAUUUCGAGGUGCCAUAUCUUUGUUACUAAAAACUUCCAGGUACUGUAUGAUCUGCGACAGAGAUUGUAAAGCUCGGUCAUAUUCGCGAGGAAUUUAUAAAAAAAAGUGUGGCGGUCAAGCCAAAGGAGUACAAUCAAGAUGCAUGACUUUGCAAGGUUUAGAUUUCACCAUAUCUUGAGCUUCCUUCUGCGAACAACUUCUUCCUGGAAAUGUUACUAGGCACCGUUUCUCUAUGAUCUGCGAAAGAGAUUGUAAAACUCGGUUUUGUUUCAUUCGCAAGGAAUUGCCACACACUUCAUUCAAA